rnacentral:rRNA from 1 species
UACGUAGGGUGCAAGCGUUAAUCGGAAUUACUGGGCGUAAAGCGUGCGCAGGCGGUGAUGUAAGACAGGUGUGAAAUCCCCGGGCUUAACCUGGGAACUGCAUUUGUGACUGCAUCGCUGGAGUGCGGCAGAGGGGGAUGGAAUUCCGCGUGUAGCAGUGAAAUGCGUAGAGAUGUGGAGGAACACCGAUGGCGAAGGCAAUCCCCUGGGCCUGUACUGACGCUCAUGCACGAAAGCGUGGGGAGCAAACAGG